rnacentral:rRNA from 1 species
UACGUGGGGUGCAAGCGUUGUUCGGAAUUACUGGGCGUAAAGCGCGUGUAGGCGGCUCGGUAAGUCUGCUGUGAAAGUCCAGGGCUCAACCCUGGGAUGCCGGUGGAUACUGUCGAGCUCGAGUCCGGAAGAGGCGAGUGGAAUUCCUGGUGUAGCGGUGAAAUGCGCAGAUAUCAGGAGGAACACCAAUGGCGAAGGCAGCUCGCUGGGACGUGACUGACGCUGAGACGCGAAAGCGUGGGAGCGAACAGG